rnacentral:rRNA from 1 species
UACGUAGGGGGCUAGCGUUGUCCGGAAUCAUUGGGCGUAAAGAGCGUGUAGGCGGCCAGGUAGGUCUGCUGUGAAAACUCGAGGCUCAACCUCGAGACGUCGGCGGAAACCAUCUGGCUAGAGUCCGGAAGAGGAGAGUGGAAUUCCUGGUGUAGCGGUGGAAUGCGCAGAUAUCAGGAGGAACACCGGUGGCGAAGGCGGGUCUCUGGGCAGUAACUGACGCUGAGGAGCGAAAGCGUGGGGAGCGAACAGG